AACGAACGCUGGCGGCAUGCCUAACACAUGCAAGUCGAACGAGACCUUCGGGUCUAGUGGCGCACGGGUGCGUAACGCGUGGGAACCUGCCCUUAGGUUCGGAAUAACUCCCCGAAAGGGGUGCUAAUACCGGAUAAUGUCUUCGGACCAAAGAUUUAUCGCCUUUGGAUGGGCCCGCGUUGGAUUAGCUAGUUGGUAGGGUAAAAGCCUACCAAGGCGACGAUCCAUAGCUGGUCUGAGAGGAUGAUCAGCCACACUGGGACUGAGACACGGCACAGACUCCUACGGGAGGCAGCAGUGGGGAAUAUUGGACAAUGGGCGAAAGCCUGAUCCAGCAAUGCCGCGUGAGUGAUGAAGGCCUUAGGGUUGUAAAGCUCUUUUACCCGGGAUGAUAAUGACAGUACCGGGAGAAUAAGCUCCGGCUAACUCCGU
rnacentral:rRNA from 1 species